GACGAACGCGGCGGCGUGCCUAAUACAUGCAAGUAGAACGCUGAAGGAAGGAGCUUGCUCUCUCCGGAUGAGUUGCGAACGGGUGAGUAACGCGUAGGUAACCUGCCUGGUAGCGGGGGAUAACUAUUGGAAACGAUAGCUAAUACCGCAUAAUAGCAGUUAUUGCAUGAUAACUGUUUGAAAGGUGCAAAUGCAUCACUACCAGAUGGACCUGCGUUGUAUUAGCUAGUUGGUGGGGUAACGGCUCACCAAGGCGACGAUACAUAGCCGACCCGAGAGGGUGAUCGGCCACACUGGGACUGAGACACGGCCCAGACUCCUACGGGAGGCAGCAGUAGGGAAUCUUCGGCAAUGGACGGAAGUCUGACCGAGCAACGCCGCGUGAGUGAAGAAGGUUUUCGGAUCGUAAAGCUCUGUUGUAAGAGAAGAACGAGUGUGAGAGUGGAAAGUUCACACUGUGACGGUAUCU
rnacentral:rRNA from 1 species